rnacentral:rRNA from 1 species
AACGCGAAGAACCUUACCAAAUCUUGACAUACUCUUGAAUAGUUUUGUAAUGGAGCUAGUCCUUCGGGACAAGGGAUACAGGUGGUGCAUGGUUGUCGUCAGCUCGUGUCGUGAGAUGUUGGGUUAAGUCCCGCAACGAGCGCAACCCUUGUCGUCAGUAGCCAGCAGUAAGAUGGGCACUCUGACGAGACAGCCGGAGAUAAUCCGGAGGAAGGUGGGGAUGACGUCAAAUCAUCAUGCCCCUUAUGAUUUGGGCUACACACGUGCUACAAUGGCGUAAACAAAGUGAAGCAAAGCCGCGAGGCCAAGCAAAUCACAAAAAUAACGUCUCAGUUCGGAUUGUAGUCUGCAACUCGACUAUAUGAAGCUGGAAUCGCUAGUAAUCGCAGAUCAGAAUGCUGCGGUGAAUACGUUCCCGGGUCUUGUACACACGC